AUAGAUACACAGCCAAAAAUCCACAGGCCUGUUUCAGGCCCGUGGGGAAAAUCAGUUGAAUACAGGCCGGAAUACGGGCCUGUAUGCGGAUGUAAUCGCCCACGGCCCGCUUACAUCCUGGAACCACAGGCCUGUUACAGCACGUACAUCCUGUCCUGAAUACGGACCGUAAAUAACAGGCCUGUUUCAGCCUGUACCACCCACGUCCUGCUUACAGCCUGUGCAGCCAGUGUAUGCGCAUGCGCAGAGAGAAAGUUGCUUAGCUACGAAAUCCACCAAGAGACUGAAAAGGUGCUUCAGUUUGAUGUUCUCGUUCAGUUGCAGCUUUAAAGGAUGGAUGGAGUAAUUAUAUUAUUUAUGGAGCUGACUGCCAAGGCCAGCUAGCAAGAAAAGAGAGAGAGAGGAACUGCUAGAUGUCUCUGCAAUUCUUCUUUCACUGUCUCUAGGAGUCUAGCUCUAUAGGCUACAAGAUCUGGUUGCCUCUGACGCAGGUUGUUGACUUCUUCUACAACGUUUAAUAUAAGAAUACACAUCUAAAAAGGACCUCUACAACGACUACUAUAUAAAUGUACCUGUGUCUAUGUCAUCAUUACUGUACUGAUUGAGCUCGAGAGAUUGAGGUUCCUUGUCACACUACUUGAGAAUAUGUACAUAUAUAAAUUGGAAUGCUCAUGCCAUCAAUGAUUUCAACCCAUCAUGACCAGAAGGUAUUUUACAAUAAUAAUUAUUGUCGUUUACAUUGGUUGGUCUAAUUACAGCAUCGUAGACACACCUAUACUUUAGGAACUAUCAGAAUUUGGCAGUUAAGUUACUGGCUGUGGACAUGGCUGGUCUGUGACAGUACAAACAGUCAAACAAAAAAUGUAUAAUGUGACAGAGGACAUGGCUGGUCUGUGGACAGUACGAACAGUCGAACAACACAUUAUAUUGUGACAGAGGACAUGGCUGGUCUGUGGACAGUACGAACAGUCAAACAACACAUUAUAUUGUGACAGAGGACAUGGCUGGUCUGUGGACAGUACGAACAGUCGAACAACACAUUAUAUUGUGUGACAGAGGACAUGGCUGGUAGUACAAACAGUCAAACAGAAAAUUUAUAAAUUGACACACUCGAGCAGCACAAGCACUAGAAGAAACAUUCCUAUUAGUGUUGUAAACUGUCGAACUGUCUGGCUAUGUUUGUUUCUUAAAAAUUUUAACACUUCGUUGAAUUAUUCAUGCCAAACUCA